rnacentral:rRNA from 1 species
CACGUAGGGCGCAAGCGUUAUCCGGAAUUAUUGGGCGUAAAGAGCUCGUAGGCGGUUUGUCGCGUCUGCCGUGAAAGUCCGGGGCUCAACUCCGGAUCUGCGGUGGGUACGGGCAGACUAGAGUGAUGUAGGGGAGACUGGAAUUCCUGGUGUAGCGGUGAAAUGCGCAGAUAUCGGGAGGAACACCGGUGGCGAAGGCGGUUCUCUGGGCCUUACCUGACGCUGAGGAGCGAAAGCGUGGGGAGCGAACAGG